rnacentral:rRNA from 1 species
UGGGGAAUUUUGGACAAUGGGGGAAACCCUGAUCCAGCCAUCCCGCGUGUGCGAUGAAGGCCUUCGGGUUGUAAAGCACUUUUGGCAGGAAAGAAACGUCGCGGGUUAAUACCCCGCGAAACUGACGGUACCUGCAGAAUAAGCACCGGCUAACUACGUGCCAGCAGCCGCGGUAAUACGUAGGGUGCAAGCGUUAAUCGGGAUUACUGGGCGUAAAGCGUGCGCAGGCGGUUCGGAAAGAAAGAUGUGAAAUCCCAGAGCUUAACUUUGGAACUGCAUUUUUAACUACCGGGCUAGAGUGUGUCAGAGGGAGGUGGAAUUCCGCGUGUAGCAGUGAAAUGCGUAGAUAUGCGGAGGAACACCGAUGGCGAAGGCAGCCUCCUGGGAUAACACUGACGCUCAUGCACGAAAGCGUGGGGAGCAAACAGGAUUAGAUACCCUGGUAGUCCACGCCCUAAACGAUGUCAACUAGCUGUUGGGGCCUUCGGGCCUUGGUAGCGCAGCUAACGCGUGAAGUUGACCGCCUGGGGAGUACGGUCGCAAGAUUAAAACUCAAAUGAAUUGACGGGGGUCGAUAGCUGUUUUCCU